GAUAUUUUUUUUCCAAUGUGCGGCCAUUUCUUGCCCAUUAGCCAUGACAUCUUCGAUGUAUAUGCUGGAAGAGGUCUGAAUAUUCCUGGCCAGCAAACUUCUAAGUUUCAAGUUUUAGUCAUUCUAUACAAUCUUCACAUAUUGGUUCUCUUUUAACUAUGAUAAUGGUUUCUAGCCUUUUGAAUCUAUCUAUGAACCACUUGACAGGUUCUCCAAUAUGCUAUAUAAGGUCAGCCACGG
rnacentral:lncRNA from 1 species